rnacentral:rRNA from 1 species
GCCCUUUUCCGGUUGUACCUGCCGGACCCGACCGCUAUCGGGGUGGGGCUAAGCCAUGCGAGUCGUGCGCCCCGGGCUGGCGGGGCGCGGCGCACGGCUCAGUAACACGUGGCCAACCUACCCUCGGGACGGGGAUAGCCCCGGGAAACUGGGGCUAAUACCCGAUAGGCGAUGGCUCCUGGAAUGGGCCAUCGCUGAAAGGGGCCUGGGGCCAUGCUCUCCAGGUCCGCCCGAGGAUGGGGCUGCGGCCCAUCAGGUAGUUGGCGGGGUAACGGCCCGCCAAGCCGAUAACGGGUACGGGCCGUGAGAGCGGGAGCCCGGAGAUGGGCCCUGAGACAAGGGCCCAGGCCCUACGGGGCGCAGCAGGCGCGAAACCUCCGCCAUGCGGGAAACCGCGACGGGGUCACCCCGAGUGCCGCCCGAAGAGGGCGGCUUUUCCCCAGUGUAACAAGCUGGGGGAAUAAGCGGGGGGCAAGUCUGGUGUCAGCCGCCGCGGUAAUACCAGCCCCGCGAGUGGUCGGGACGCUUAUUGGGCUUAAAGCGUCCGUAGCCGGUCCAGCAAGUCUCCCCUCAAAUCCCACGGCCCAACCGUGGGGCUGGGGGAGAUACUGCUGGGCUAGGGGGCGGGAGAGGCCGAGGGUACUCCCGGGGUAGGGGCGAAAUCCUAUAAUCCCGGGAGGACCACCAGUGGCGAAGGCGCUCGGCCAGAACGCGCCCGACGGUGAGGGACGAAAGCUGGGGGAGCAAAGGGGAUUAGAUACCCCCGUAGUCCCAGCUGUAAACGAUGCGGGCUAGGUGUUGGGCGGACUUCGAGUCCGCCCAGUG